ACUACAUCGUAAAAAGAAUGGCAUCUAUGCUAAUAUUAGUCUCUUUCAUUUUUAUUCCGAGGUCAAUAUAGCCAUACAGAUCCAGUCCAUAUCCAUUCCAGAUGGUGGAUCAGCACCUAGAGACGACCUCUGCAGCCCUGAAUGUCAGCGGUGACCCAGAGACAGAUCCCCUAUGAAGACCUCAUCACCUCGACGACCAUCAACACAAGGCCACAGGAACCAGAUAAGUCCCCUGCACAAUCUGACCUGUGUUGCAGCCUGGAAUUAAACCAUGCCAUGCUGGUUUCGUCUGGCCAGAGGAGAAAUGACCCCCCAAACUGAGUCUGGUUUCUCACACAUUUUUUUUUUCUCCAUUUCUGUCACUGAUGGAGUUUUGGUUCCUUGCCGCUGUCACCUUUGGCUUGCUUAGUUGGGGACGCUUGACUGAUUGAACAGAUACUAUUGGAAGAGAGCUGAACUGGAUGAUGACAUCACUGAAUCAUCAAUAAACAGACUUUAGCUGGAAAACUGACUCUUUGUUAAACAAUUUUCCUAUUUGACACUGUAAAGCUCAUUUGAGUUCAUUUGUAGGUCUAGAGAGGUAUGAUUUGGCCAAAAAAAAAGGUUUCUCACUUGAUAAUCAAGAUCUCUUUUUCUUCUAAAGAACCCAUGUUGUAAUGGGUAAAUGUAAUAGAAUGCUGACAGAAGGAUUAAAAAGAGGAAGAUUCACUUCCACUAGGUGCCAAAAAUAUGCUCGGGUGUGAUGAAAUAAACCUCUUAACCCACCUGAUAUUUCAUGUAUUUCGUCGUAAAAGUAAAACCACAAGUUGGUGUCUGCAGUCACAGAGUAUAAUGGAAACAGGGGUAAAGAUCUUGUCACUCCUCCCCUACAUACCUACAAUUCACCUCCCAUUUGCUAACUUCAGAACAGAAAAGACCGAACCAGAGAACAGUAAUACAUACAUUGCUGCAGAGGCCAAGGCAGAAAGAAAAUUACAAUCAAAAUCCAAUAAUCAGACAAAUGGAUCCCAGCCAGUCUUUCAGUCACACCCGGCCAUAUCCAGGACAGUGCGUGGUCGGUGUGCAGCCUGCAGUUUUUGUGACCCCCAAUCCACCGGCCAGUCUAGUGCCAGAUCACUUGGGCUACUCCAUCUUUACCAUGCUGUGCUGCUGUUUACCUCUGGGCAUUGCUGCACUGGUUUACUCCUGCUCUACUCGAGAUGCCAUCUACUCAGGACAGCAAGAAUUAGCAAAGAAGAACUCCAGAACAGCGCUCAUGCUGAAUCACAUCGGCCUUGGGAUUGGCAUGGUUAUUAUUGUAUUGGUUAUUAUCAACCAUAUGGCGAAAUAAAGAUAAAAGCUGUUAGAGCUGACAUGGCUGGAUGCAGAUUACAAACCGAUUUGUUUGUCUUUAUUUUAAAUGUUACUUGCUCAAUUUAUCAUUAUUCUCAUGCUUUAAGGCUGAUUAUUCUGUUUAAACCAAUGAAAGCUACCCAGCAAUUUUUUUUUGUUCUCUUUACUUCUAAAAUGUUUUGUUUAGACUUUUUGCUUAUGUUAAAUCUCUUGUGUGCAGCUGUGCUCGUUUUUUAAGUGAUCAACCAAUUUAAACAGAAAUUAAAGUGUUAGUCAAAUACUCAAAUCAGAAAGCACAUACACAUUUUUUUCUAAAUCAAUAAAGGUGUUUCUCAAUUAAUUAAAAGUACUUAA
ensembl:lncRNA